ensembl:snoRNA SNORD13D small nucleolar RNA, C/D box 13D
AUCCUUUUGUAGUUCAUGAGCAUGAUGAUUGGGUGUUCACGAGUGUGUGUGAGAUGUGCCACCCUCCAACCUUGUUAUGACCUCAGCACAUUACCCAUCUGACC